rnacentral:rRNA from 1 species
AUUGAACGCUGGCGGCAUGCCUUACACAUGCAAGUCGAACGGAAACGGGCCUUCGGGUGCCGACGAGUGGCGAACGGGUGAGUAAUGUAUCGGAACGUACCUUUCAGUGGGGGAUAACGUAGCGAAAGUUACGCUAAUACCGCAUAUUCUGUGAGCAGGAAAGCAGGGGAUCGCAAGACCUUGCGCUGAUUGAGCGGCCGAUAUCAGAUUAGCUAGUUGGUGAGGUAAAGGCUCACCAAGGCGACGAUCUGUAGCGGGUCUGAGAGGAUGAUCCGCCACACUGGACCUGAGACACGGUCCAGACUCCUACGGGAGGCAGCAGUGGGGAAUUUUGGACAAUGGGGGCAACCCUGAUCCAGCCAUGCCGCGUGAGUGAAGAAGGCCUUCGGGUUGUAAAGCUCUUUCGGCCGGGAAGAAAUCGUAUCAGCUAAUACCUGGUGCGGAUGACGGUACCGGCAUAAGAAGCACCGGCUAACUACGUGCCAGCCGCCGCAGUAAAAC